UUUUUGUUAAUAUGUAUUAUUGAGUGACAGUUUAAGCAUAUCUGGUGCCCAUGUGUGUGGUAUGUAUGCAUGGUUGUACGUGUGGUAUGUCUCUCUGUACAUGUAUGUGUGUGAUGUGGGUGUGUGUUAAAGAAAACCGUUAACUCCCCUUAGGGCAGCACCAGCUGGCAGUCUGCACAGUCCAAGCCCCAGAUCCAAGCCCCACAAGUGUGGAGUCAAGCAGAGUGGCUCUAGAGUUGACAGAUAAUGCUUCAAUGGCCAGCACGAGAACAUAACUUUGCCAAUGGGAACAGCAGGAGCCCCUUUUGACAUGUCAGCCAGCGAGGGAAGAUGGCCGGGGAGCGGCCUCUGAAGCAAAAUUGAGAAUUUCCGAAUUGAAAUGAGAUUGGAAGUUAAAAGGUACACCUUGGAACACUCUCCGUCCAGCGCUGGCCUGCCUUGGGAGUGUAAAGGACAAGUGGGCACAGAAGUCAAGGCAAAGCUGAAGAAUCCAGGAUUCGGAGACUGCUCCCCACACUCAAAAGUGAAGUCGUAGCCAGUCCUUCCAAAACUUAGAGGACGCGAUACUCAGAUUUUGUUAAUGACUCCAAAUUUCAGGGUGGUUGGGGGCAUGAUUUUAGAUGCUUUGUUCGCUGCAGGGAAAAUACUGCUUUUAAAAAUCAGCUGUCUGGUUUAUUUUUCAUAUCUUCUAAACUGGGAGAAAAUGGCCCUCAGGUAAUGAGUGUCUGAAUGCACGUAUGUAUGACUUUCUCCUGAGACCCCAGGAAGACGGUAAGAGAGGGAAUGCUUUUCCCCCUUAGGAAGAGAGGGAUUUUUUAAGUUGGCAUUAGCACGCAAGGAAAGGAUGGGGAGAGGGAAACAAUGGGACUCCUGGUUUUUGCAACACGCUUAGUGGAACUGUUUGACCCUUGAAACCCUGCACCCAUAUAACAGUGACACAAACAAAAGUAACAAAAACAUUUCUUAAAAGAAUUCUAAGAAAAGCAAGGAAGCUAACAUUAAAAGUCUCCUACUUACUUCGUAAGCUUCGGUUCCGUGCGUUCGUUCAAUGGGGCCUUUCCUGUCAUGAGUGCAGUAUGAUCCAUUGCUCUCCAUUUUGUCAAUUUUUAGAAGGUUCUGGUGUGACUUUUAUCUAUGGCAUUUUGUGGGUCAUCUCUCUCUGAUUUACUUUCUGAUUCCUUCUUCAGGAAUGCAACCCUUGAUUACAACAUUACUACAGAGGGAGGCUCUGAUUCGUUUGGGGGCAUGUUCCCCAGGAUCGAAAGUCGUGUUGUUUCCAUGAAGAAAGACAAACUGCUUCGUGUAUUGUUCGACUAGGCGAAGCUCUCUAGACCUGGAAGCGGCCAUCAUGCCCUGGGGCCUUCCCCACUUCGCAGUCCGCACUUGCCUCCUGCUGGUGAGGCUGCUGAGGACGCAUGUCCUCCUUUCUGCAUCUCCUCUCUGUCCUGUCAGGCAACGUGACAUUGUUUUCUUUUUUUUUUUAAUUUUUAUUUAUUUAUGAUAGUUACAGAGAGAGAGAGAGGCAGAGACACAGGCAGAGGGAGAAGCAGGCUCCAUGCACCGGGAGCCCGACGUGGGAUUCGAUCCUGGGUCUCCAGGAUCGCGCCCUGGGCCAAAGGCAGGCGCCAAACCGCUGCGCCACCCAGGGAUCCCUGUGACAUUGUUUUCUGCUCCUCGCUUUGUGCUCCUGGCUCUUUGUGGGCCCCACUGAUCUAAAGAUGCUUAAUUUACUAAUAGAUUCUUUGUGUAACUCUUCCUUUUCCCUUGGGUUUCCUUCUUCUGUUCUUGUUCCUCAUUUCUCGGCAGGUUGUGAGAUGUAGGAAAAGCUUGCACCUUUAUAAAACCUUUUUAAGUUGUUUGGCAUUCCUAUUGAAUUCACCAUCACUCUUCCAUUUCUUUUUCUUUUUUUUUUUACUAUUUAUUUAUUUAUUUAUUUAUUUAUUUAUUUAUUUAUUUAUUUAUUUAUUUAUUUAUUUAUUUAUAAGAGAGGCAGAGACACAGGCAGAGGGAGAAGCAGGCUCCCUGGGAUUCCUGGGAUCACGCCCUGAGCCGAAGGCAGAUGCUCAACCGCUGAGCACUGAGUCCCUGCUCUUCCGUUUCUAAAGAACUAAAUUUCCUGACAUGAAAACCUCCUCUUUCUGAAGUCCUGGAUCACUUUGUAGGUUUUCCGCGUCCUCGUGCAUGUUCUACCCUUGUUAGUUUACACCUGUUCUCUAGCAGACUGCUCUCCCUGAGACCAGGGCGAGUGUCUUUCUCCCUAGCGUGCCCACAGCGCUGACCGAAUGCACCGACGUAUACGUGGCCAAAUGUGUGUUGGGGGUAUUCUUUAAUGUUCAAAAUAGCAUUAUGAUUUGGUUUUAUUUGAGCCUUUGAGGAUACCCAUAAGCAUUGGUUUGUUUAAUUGCCACCGAUCCAAGAGUGUGUGUCCCUCUGUUUCUGACUUUGGAAUCUAAAAACAGAGGAGAUUGAGCUUGGUACUCUUUAAAGGCCUUUAAUCCCUGUGACUUUUCCCCUUAGAUUGAUUAAGCACCCCUUGAGUGCCUGGUCUAGAUAUCCUGUUAUAUUGUGCAGGGAAGAGAAAUACAGUGUACAGUUCAGAUGUGAAGACAAAGCAAGUACACAAAACAGUAAUUAGAGGCAGUGCCAUCAUAACGUACAGAUUAACUAUCAGACAGAUAGUGAUUCCAUGUAUUGGUCUUAUGCAAAAAAGCACCCAAGGAUGUUUGUCUAAAACGGGAACAUAAGGUGCCUAGGAGUGAUUUUACAUUUUUUUUGUACACUAACUUUUUUAGAGAAGGAAGAAGAGUAAUCAGAGGAAACAAGCCUCGUACAACAGGAUAUUGCUUUUAUAUGGAUGUUUUUACUUUUUAGUCUGUUAGGACCUAACCUAUGCUUUCUUUGUGUGCUUAUUGUUUUCCUUUCAGAACACCUUCUGUCCCCAGCAAGACUGGCAAAAGUUACCUUAGGGUUGGGCUUUGGGGGCACCCUUGAUGGAUUCCUCUAGCUCAUUCUUAAUGUUAUUGCAGAUAAGAUUUAAUAUUUUAUUACUUUCAAGUACAAAUGGGAAUUUCAACAUCUGCCUAAGAGUAGUACCAGAUGAGAUCCUGAAUGUCCUGCUUUAAUGAAUAGAUAUGUUUUAUUUAAAAUUAAGACCCAUUUGCAUAAUAAGGUAUGCCACUGACCUUUAAAAAUCUCUUAGUAGCUUAAACAUGCCACUAGACAGUAUUUACUAUAGUAAUAUACUGACUCUUUAAAAAUUCAUAGAUGGGAUAAACUUCCACUCACUGAAAUAAUGAUAAAUUCAGAAUAGUCCUAGACACCAAAUUUGAAUGUUUCCUUAAGUAAACUUUAAACUACCGCUUGAAUAAGUACCACGGCCUCUGUGCAGAAGGCAGUUAACAUAGCAGGUGCAAGACUGCCAUCUUUAGAAAGACCUGCUUGCAUGGUUGGCCUUAGGAAACUCAGCUUCUCAGAAGUUUCCCAAGCUGGUAAAAGCUGGGACACCAGACCUUAUACAUAUAUUGUUUGUGUAAAUGAUGUGAUUUAUGGCAAAUACUUGAUUUCCUUCUGGUUAGGAAUUUUGGUAUUUGCUAGGCCAGCCUGCCUAUGUGACUAGCCCCCAAUAAAAAUCUUGGGUGCUGAGUCUCUAAUGGACUUGUCUAGGUAGAAGCACUAUACAAAUGUGGCUGCAUUUUUUCUGCCAGAAAAGGAACACAUUCAGUGUAUCCCUCGCAGGCGGGGAAGGAAAGCCUAUGAAGGAAGCCUGUGCAUGGAUUUCCUCACACUCUGCCUGUAUCUUUUUCCUUUGCUGGUCUUGUCAUAUACCCUUUGGUAUAAUAAAUCAAGCCUAA
rnacentral:lncRNA from 1 species